rnacentral:tRNA from 1 species
UGUAGCUCAGUGGUAGAGCACUUGCUUGGCAUGUAUGAGGCCCUAGGUUUAAUUCCCAGUA